rnacentral:rRNA from 1 species
GGGCACGACACCGGAGAGGGAGCCUGAGAAACGGCUACCANNNCCAAGGAUGGCAGCAGGCGCGCAAAUUACCCAAUCCCGACACGGGGAGGUAGUGACAAUAAAUAACAAUACGGGGUUCUUUAGGAUCUCGUAAUUGGAAUGAGUACAAUUUAAAUCUCUUAACGAGGAACAAUUGGAGGGCAAGUCUGGUGCCAGCAGCCGCGGUAAUUCCAGCUCCAAUAGCGUAUAUUAAAGUUGUUGCAGUUAAAAAGCUCGUAGUUGAAUUUCGGGGUUAGUAGGUUGGUCAUGCCUCUGGUAUGUACUGGUCUCACUGAUUCCUCCUUCCUUAUGAACCGUAAUGCCAUUAAUUUGGUGUUGCGGGGAAUUUGGACUGUUACUUUGAAAAAAUUAGAGUGUUUAAAGCAAGCUAACGCUUGAAUACAUUAGCAUGGAAUAAUGAAAUAGGACGUUCGAUCUUAUUUUGUUGGUUUCUAGGAUUGACGUAAUGAUUAAUAGGGAUAGUUGGGGGCAUUAGUAUUCAAUUGUCAGAGGUGAAAUUCUUGGAUUUAUUGAAGACUAACUACUGCGAAAGCAUUUGCCAAGGAUGUUUUCAUUAAUCAAGAACGAAAGUUAGGGGAUCGAAGACGAUCAGAUACCGUCGUAGUCUUAACCAUAAACUAUGCCGACUAGGGAUCGGAUGAUGUUAAUUUUUUAAUGACUCAUUCGGCGCCUUACGGGAAAC